rnacentral:rRNA from 1 species
CCUACGGGAGGCAGCAGUGGGGAAUAUUGCACAAUGGGGGAAACCCUGAUGCAGCGACGCCGCGUGAGUGAAGAAGUAUUUCGGUACGUAAAGCUCUAUCAGCAGGGAAGAAAAUGACGGUACCUGACUAAGAAGCCCCGGCUAACUACGUGCCAGCAGCCGCGGUAAUACGUAGGGGGCAAGCGUUAUCCGGAUUUACUGGGUGUAAAGGGAGCGUAGACGGCAGAGCAAGUCUGGAGUGAAAUCCCAUGGCUUAACCAUGGAACUGCUUUGGAAACUGUGCAGCUAGAGUGCAGGAGAGGUAAGCGGAAUUCCUAGUGUAGCGGUGAAAUGCGUAGAUAUUAGGAGGAACGCCAGUGGCGAAGGCGGCUUACUGGACUGUAACUGACGUUGAGGCUCGAAAGCGUGGGGAGCAAACAGGAUUAGAUACCCCAGUAGUC